UACGUAGGGAGCAAGCGUUGUCCGGAAUCAUUGGGCGUAAAGCGCGCGUAGGUGGCCUCGUAAGUCCGCUGUGAAAGUCAAAGGCUCAACCUUUGAAAGCCGGUGGAUACUGUGAGGCUAGAGUACGGAAGAGGCGAGUGGAAUUCCUGGUGUAGCGGUGGAAUGCGCAGAUAUCAGGAGGAACACCAAUAGCGAAGGCAGCUCGCUGGGACGUUACUGACACUGAGGCGCGAAAGCGUGGGGAGCGAACGGG
rnacentral:rRNA from 1 species